rnacentral:lncRNA from 1 species
CACCGUUGGCUUUGCAGAACAAUCUUAGGGUUUAUAUGAGAGGGAAUUGGUUCUUUGCAGAUGAGUUCCCUUCAGUCUCUAGAGGUUGCUCUAAAUUAGUUAGAAUCUCUCUAGGGUUUUGUCCCAAGGAAACUUCAGAGUGUUUUCAGCUUUCACCAAUUCUCCCUCUCUCUCUUUCUUUAUCCUUUACUGAAAUUUCAGAAUUUAUAACCUGAUUUUCGUGGCUUUGUGGGCUCAAAUGAGAGAGGUCCAAGUCCAAGAUUUUUCUAUUAUAUUUU